AGUGAACGCUGGCGGUAGGCCUAACACAUGCAAGUCGAACGGCAGCACAGUAAGAGCUUGCUCUUACGGGUGGCGAGUGGCGGACGGGUGAGGAAUACAUCGGAAUCUACUUUUUCGUGGGGGAUAACGUAGGGAAACUUACGCUAAUACCGCAUACGACCUACGGGUGAAAGCAGGGGAUCUUCGGACCUUGCGCGGUUGAAUGAGCCGAUGUGGGAUUAGCUAGUUGGCGGGGUAAAGGCCCACCAAGGCGACGAUACGUAGCUGGAGUGUGAGGAGGGUCGCCGACACUGGAAGUUGAACAGGGUCAUGACUCCUACGAGAGGGAGCAGUGGGGAAUAUGGGACAAUGGUCGCAAGCCUUGUCCAGUCAGACCGCGUGUGUGGAGACGGCCUUCGGGUUGUAAAGACCUUUUUUUGGUAAAGAAACGCAGCAGGUUAAUACCCAGCUGUUCUGACGGUACCCAAAGAAUAAGCACCGGCUAGCUUCGUG
rnacentral:rRNA from 1 species